UACGAAGGGGGCUAGGGUUGUUCGGAAUCACUGGGCGUAAAGCGCACGUAGGCGGCGCGUUAAGUCAGGGGUGAAAUCCUGGAGCUCAACUCCAGAACUGCCUUUGAUACUGGCGUGCUCGAGUGUGGGAGAGGUUGGUGGAACUCCGAGUGUAGAGGUGAAACUCGUAGAUAUUCGGAAGAACACCAGUGGCGAAGGCGGCCAACUGGCCCAUUACUGACGCUGAGGUGCGAAAGCGUGGGCAGCAACCAGG
rnacentral:rRNA from 1 species